UACAGAGGGUGCAAGCGUUGUUCGGAAUUACUGGGCGUAAAGAGCUCGUAGGUGGUUUGUCGCGUUGUUCGUGAAAACCGGGGGCUUAACCCUCGGCGUGCGGGCGAUACGGGCAGACUUGAGUACUGCAGGGGAGACUGGAAUUCCUGGUGUAGCGGUGGAAUGCGCAGAUAUCAGGAGGAACACCGGUGGCGAAGGCGGGUCUCUGGGCAGUAACUGACGCUGAGGAGCGAAAGCGUGGGGAGCGAACAGG
rnacentral:rRNA from 1 species